GGAGUGGGACGCGGAGCGCGAUCGAAAAUUUGUUGUGCAUCAGUGUUUCUUUGGUUAUAAGUUGUUUUCUAGCGAAUAGUGUACCAACAUGUCGACGUCGGAUAACUUCUUAGUCAUCGAGCCUUCGCAGGAGUUGCGAUUCAAAGGCCCAUUUAAAGAUGAAGUGUCUAGCAGUAGCUUGACCCUUACCAAUACAUCAGACAAGAAGAUCACUUUCAAGAUCAAGACCACUGCACCAAAGAGAUAUUGUGUGCGACCAAACCAGGGUAUAGUGGAGCCAGGAGCCACAGUCAACAUUGCAGUAAUGCUUCAGCCAUUCGAUUACGAUCCGGCGGAGA